GAGAGCCCUCUUUUAGAUGGAGUGCUCAGGAAAGGCCACUUUGAGAGGAGAUACUUGAAAUCAGAAGUGAAGGAUCAGAAGGAGCCAGGCUAAAAGAAGAACAUUCCAGGCAGAGGGAAUAGCAAGGGCCAAGGCCAUGUGGCACAGAGAUCCGUGUGCUGGAUGGAUGGACAGGCCAGUGUGCCAAGGGCUAAGAAGACCCAUGGUACUCUCCUCUCCUCCCCAGGGCUGCACCGGACUGGCCUCUGUGUCUCCAGAACAAGUUCUCUGCUUUCCUACCACCACAGCUAUGAUGUUCCUCCUUAAAAUUCUGUUCCCUAUCUCCCUCGCUGAACAUGGACCAUUCUUCCCACAGAAAACAGCUGAAAUCCCACCUCCUUUCUGACACGUCUAUGGAUCACCCCCACACACACACACAGCUGGAGCCAGCAGACCUCUUCUUGAAUUUUUACAUCCUCUCCAGCACCACUGACUUGGCUAACGGCAUUGGUUACUGUUUCCACACACACUUCUCAUCUCUUCAAGAAAACUGUAAGCUCCUGGAGGGCAGGAAUGAUAACGACAAGCAAGCCCACCAUGGGGACCCCCAAAGUGGUACUCAGAAAAUGCUUUGACUUGGUAAGACAGAGGCAGCAAAUUGGGAAACAUGCCAACAUUUGCCAUCUGUGCCCAGACCCCCUGGAUGACAAGCUUGGGCUCAUCUCUGCACCCCUACCCCCUCACACAGGGCCUGGAGUUGGCCAGCACUCAAUAAAUGCUUGUGAAAUAAACUUCCAGAGUCAUCUUAGGCUGCUGUUGUGAAAUAAACUUCUGGAGUCAUCUUAGGCUGCUGAUUUUGGAUAAGUGACUUAACAUCUCUGAACCUGGCUUCCUUAUCUCUAAACCAUGAAUAACAAGUUCCUUCCACGUGAGGUUGUUUUGAAGACCAUAUGAAACAUGAAAGGUUUUGGCAAAUGUGAGUUCUCAUAUAUUAUGAGUGGUUGAAUGGAUCACUUGUCAUUUCCCAGUGGACACCACACCCAGUGAAGGAUGUGAAGCAGAGAGUUGACUGAAGCACAUCCUGCUGCCAGCCAGAACAGACCAGACCAAAGCAAAGAACAACAGGAUCGUGUUUCAGAGGAGAGUGUUUCAGAGGAGAGUGUUUCAGAGGAGAGUGUCCGUGCUUUGAAGGAUGAGUGCCUUCUCACCUCGGGAGACCGAACUCCGUGGACUGCAUCAACAGUUUCCUUGAUAUCUGGUUUCCAGGUGGUCUGAGCCCAUAGGAGAUCAGAAGUUGGGAGGAGAGAGAGGCUGGGGGAUUUAUCUCCCCAGCAACUUCCCUGAUGGUCUUAGCUUGGCAGUGGCUGUGUUCCUCCACCCAAGGCCACAGCUGCUGGCUGGCAGCCCUCUCCUCUGUGUAGCUUGCUACAGCUUCCAUCACUGUGCUCUCCCUGGAACCCUUCAGACACAGCUUUGUGUAUAGUUCCUCAUUGCAGAAGCACACGUGUGAACAGACAACUCAAGAAAAGCAUUUUGUAAAGUGCAGAGGACUGACUACUGGGCAGCUCCUGGUUCCUGAUGAAUUAGUGAACUCCUCCAGUGGAGAAAAUCACCCUCUUUGCUCCUCUCGGUCUAGAAGGCACUGGUUCCUCCUCUCCUCCUUAGAAAUGUUUUCUGAAAUAGACAAGCUCUGUGUCAAGCCCCAGG
ensembl:lncRNA